CCUACGGGAGGCAGCAGUGAGGAAUAUUGGUCAAUGGACGCAAGUCUGAACCAGCCAUGCCGCGUGAAGGAAGACGGCUCUAUGGGUUGUAAACUGCUUUUAUAUGGGGGUAAACGCAGAUACGCGUAUCUGUCUGAAAGUAUCGUACGAAUAAGGAUCGGCUAACUCCGUGCCAGCAGCCGCGGUAAUACGGAGGAUUCAAGCGUUAUCCGGAUUUAUUGGGUUUAAAGGGAGCGUAGGCGGUCGGAUAAGUCAGAGGUGAAAUCCCGAGGCUCAACUUCGGAAUUGACUUUGAUACUGUUCGUCUUGAGAGUAGUAGCGGUAGGCGGAAUGUAUGGUGUAGCGGUGAAAUGCUUAGAGAUCAUACAGAACACCGAUUGCGAAGGCAGCUUACCGAGCUACAUCUGACGUUGAGGCACGAAAGCGUGGGGAGCAAACAGGAUUAGAUACCCGUGUAGUC
rnacentral:rRNA from 1 species